CAUGAAGCCGGAAUCGCUAGUAAUCGCGGAUCAGAAUGCCGCGGUGAAUACGUUCCCGGGUCUUGUACACACCGCCCGUCACACCAUGGGAGUCGGAAAUGCCCGAAGCCGGUGACCCAACCCGAAAGGGAGGGAGCCGUCGAAGGCAGGCCGGAUGACUGGGGUGAAGUCGUAACAAGGUACC
rnacentral:rRNA from 1 species